rnacentral:rRNA from 1 species
GAUGAACGCUGGCGGCGUGCCUAACACAUGCAAGUCGAGCGAAGCAUUUUAAAGGAAGUUUUCGGAUGGAAUUUGAAAUGACUGAGCGGCGGACGGGUGAGUAACGCGUGGGUAACCUGCCUCAUACAGGGGGAUAACAGUUAGAAAUGACUGCUAAUACCGCAUAAGCACACAGUACCGCAUGGUACGGUGUGAAAAACUCCGGUGGUUAUGGAUGGGCAUGCGUUGUAUUAGCUGGUUGGUGAGGUAACGGCUCACCAAGGCAACGAUACAUAGGGGGACUGAGAGGUUAACCCCCCACAUUGGUACUGAGACACGGACCAA